AAAAAACUAACAGGGUGUCAUUUUUCCCAGCUGAUCUUGACCUUGCUAUGUAGCUGAGGAUAACCAGGAAUGUAGGAUCUUCCUGCCUUCACCUGGGAUUGAUUAGUAUAUACACAAGGGGCCAACUGCAACACAAGUCUCUGCGGUAUAAAGAAAACUGCACUCUGAGUGAUGGAGCACACGGAAAAGUCCUGUUAAAUCUGGCUUCCUUCCAUCCAAGGCUUUGACGGUGCUUUCAGCUCAGCCUCAAAGAUUGAGAAGUGGCCAAGUAUGAGCAAAAGCCACCAAUCUGCUGACACCUCCUCCAGCAGCUCUUACAGCACUCUGGAGAGCUGGGCACUACAAAGGCCGACCACACAUUGUCAGCAGGGCCCAGCAACGGAACACUAGAGGAAAGUGACAGAACAGGGAAAGGUCAGCUCCAACGAUCCAGAAGCAGACGUCCAUGUAGAUGGGCUCUACUGCGAUGAAAUCCAACAUGCUCUAGUUCAGCGAAGACACCUAGGUUAAACCACUAGUCACACACUUACGAUCCAUUUCUGCAAAGGCAACAAGAGCAAGAAGGGCCUGGGAGAGUGCCCAGGUAUCUCUGCAUCUUACAUAAGGAUGGAGAGAGGGGAGUCCUGAAGACGCUGGUGGCCAGGCCUUUCCUCAGAGACUCUGUACCAUCUGGUUGGGCAGGUGCUACUGUGGACGAUCUUCGUUUUCGACUACUGAAAAAGGGGAAACAUGAUGCAACAAUCAUUUUUGCAUCUAAGAAGAAUGGAAAACAUUAGAAGGGGGAGAAACCACCUAUACCCCUGCGGAGAAUUAAUGAUAAACCUCACAGGAUAUUCUGUUCCUAAGAACAAGAGACUAUGAAACAGCCCUUUAGAGAGAGAUUUGUGACCAACUCACCCAGUCGGCGACUCUUGUUUUAAAGUCUCUAUAUCAGUAAACUGAACAGAUUGUCCACCA